UUUAAAACAACUACCUACUAUCCCUAUCACAUCUGUCUAACAGACCUCUCGAACACUUCCGCUGCGCUAGGACCAGUAGUGGCUUGCCCACUACCUCUCCCGCAACAGGCUUUGCCCGUAGAGACAGACGCUGUCCCUAUGCUCUCCCUAAAGGGAAGUAGUUGUAUAUUUGGUAUGGUGGGACUGUAGAGCUGUAUGAGGUG